UCCCAAAUAGUCUAGGCGUUAGGAUACGUGGCUUUCACCCACGCGACCCGGGUUCGAGUCCGGUUUGGGAA
rnacentral:tRNA from 1 species